rnacentral:rRNA from 1 species
AGCGAACGCUGGCGGCAGGCUUAACACAUGCAAGUCGAACGGGCGUAGCAAUACGUCAGUGGCAGACGGGUGAGUAACACGUGGGAACGUACCUUUUGGUUCGGAACAACUGAGGGAAACUUCAGCUAAUACCGGAUAAGCCCUUACGGGGAAAGAUUUAUCGCCGAAAGAUCGGCCCGCGUCUGAUUAGCUAAGUUGGUGGGGUAAGAGCCCACCAAGGCGACGAUCAGUAGCUGGUCUGAGAGGAUGAUCAGCCACAUUGGGACUGAGACACGGCCCAAACUCCUACGGGAGGCAGCAGUGGGGAAUAUUGGACAAUGGGCGAAAGCCUGAUCCAGCCAUGCCGCGUGAGUGAUGAAGGCCCUAGGGUUGUAAAGCUCUUUUAACGGGGAAGAUAAUGACGGUACCCGUAGAAUAAGCCCCGGCUAACUUCGUGCCAGCAGCCGCGGUAAU